rnacentral:rRNA from 1 species
CCUACGGGGUGCACCAGUGGGGAAUAUUGGACAAUGGGCGAAAGCCUGAUCCAGCAAUGCCGCGUGAGUGAUGAAGGCCUUAGGGUUGUAAAGCUCUUUUACCCGGGAUGAUAAUGACAGUACCGGGAGAAUAAGCCCCGGCUAACUCCGUGCCAGCAGCCGCGGUAAUACGGAGGGGGCUAGCGUUGUUCGGAAUAACUGGGCGUAAAGCGCGCGUAGGCGGCCUUGCAAGUUAGAGGUGAAAGCCCGGAGCUUAACUCCGGAACUGCCUUUAAAACUGCAUCGCUUGAAUCAUGGAGAGGUUAGUGGAAUUCCGAGUGUAGAGGUGAAAUUCGUAGAUAUUCGGAAGAACACCAGUGGCGAAGGCGACUAACUGGACAUGUAUUGACGCUGAGGUGCGAAAGCGUGGGGAGCAAACAGGAUUAGAUACCCCUGUAGUC